rnacentral:tRNA from 1 species
CAAGAAAUAGUUUAUUAAAAAUAUUAAUCUUGGAGAUUAAUGAUAUAAAUAUUUUAUUUUUUUGU